AACUCUGGUAUUGAUUGGUGCUUGCAUCAUGAUUUACAUUUGAGUGAGUGGCGAACUGGUGAGUAACACGUGGGAAACCUGCCCAGAAGCGGGGGAUAACACCUGGAAACAGAUGCUAAUACCGCAUAACAACUUGGACCGCAUGGUCCGAGUUUGAAAGAUGGCUUCGGCUAUCACUUUUGGAUGGUCCCGCGGCGUAUUAGCUAGAUGGUGGGGUAACGGCUCACCAUGGCAAUGAUACGUAGCCGACCUGAGAGGGUAAUCGGCCACAUUGGGACUGAGACACGGCCCAAACUCCUACGGGAGGCAGCAGUAGGGAAUCUUCCACAAUGGACGAAAGUCUGAUGGAGCAACGCCGCGUGAGUGAAGAAGGGUUUCGGCUCGUAAAACUCUGUUGUUAAAGAAGAACAUAUCUGAGAGUAACUGUUCAGGUAUUGACGGUAUUUAACCAGAAAGCCACGGCUAACUACGUGCCAGCAGCCGCGGUAAUACGUAGGUGGCAAGCGUUGUCCGGAUUUAUUGGGCGUAAAGCGAGCGCAGGCGGUUUUUUAAGUCUGAUGUGAAAGCCUUCGGCUCAACCGAAGAAGUGCAUCGGAAACUGGGAAACUUGAGUGCAGAAGAGGACAGUGGAACUCCAUGUGUAGCGGUGAAAUGCGUAGAUAUAUGGAAGAACACCAGUGGCGAAGGCGGCUGUCUGGUCUGUAACUGACGCUGAGGCUCGAAAGUAUGGGUAGCAAACAGGAUUAGAUACCCUGGUAGUCCAUACCGUAAACGAUGAAUGCUAAGUGUUGGAGGGUUUCCGCCCUUCAGUGCUGCAGCUAACGCAUUAAGCAUUCCGCCUGGGGAGUACGGCCGCAAGGCUGAAACUCAAAGGAAUUGACGGGGGCCCGCACAAGCGGUGGAGCAUGUGGUUUAAUUCGAAGCUACGCGAAGAACCUUACCAGGUCUUGACAUACUAUGCAAAUCUAAGAGAUUAGACGUUCCCUUCGGGGACAUGGAUACAGGUGGUGCAUGGUUGUCGUCAGCUCGUGUCGUGAGAUGUUGGGUUAAGUCCCGCAACGAGCGCAACCCUUAUUAUCAGUUGCCAGCAUUAAGUUGGGCACUCUGGUGAGACUGCCGGUGACAAACCGGAGGAAGGUGGGGAUGACGUCAAAUCAUCAUGCCCCUUAUGACCUGGGCUACACACGUGCUACAAUGGAUGGUACAACGAGUUGCGAACUCGCGAGAGUAAGCUAAUCUCUUAAAGCCAUUCUCAGUUCGGAUUGUAGGCUGCAACUCGCCUACAUGAAGUCGGAAUCGCUAGUAAUCGCGGAUCAGCAUGCCGCGGUGAAUACGUUCCCGGGCCUUGUACACACCGCCCGUCACACCAUGAGAGUUUGUAACACCCAAAGUCGGUGG
rnacentral:rRNA from 2 species